AUGUAUCCCGUUAGCCUCAACGUUCACAACGUGUAUCCUGUCGCGUUCUGCUAUGUGAAAAUCCUGAUCCUAAAGAAAGCCCCAACCUCAAGACAGUCCAGAUUUCCUACAACACUGGGAGCUGCUGAGAGGUCUCACUGUGGCCCUGAUUGCUGUAGUCUUCACUUUGGUCCCAUAGGCAGAGCAGCCGUCACUUUCUCCAUCCCAGGAAGUUUUCCUGAGCAUCUGAGCUCUCUCCCACCAUGGAAGUCUGCCAAGCCAUCCUUGAUGAAAGAUCAAUCAAGGAGGCAGUGCACUGGGAAUGAAAGCCGGAGUUGGCCGGGCGUGGUGGCAAACACCUGUAAUCCUAGCACUGUGAGACUGAGAGAGGAGGAUGGAAAGUUCAACCCCAGCCUGAGCAAUUUAGCAACUUACUAUCCAGACCUCAGGGCCUUGGCACUUGCUGCUCCCCCUGCCCGAAGUGUUCUUCUCUCAUCGUGAUAUUGCAAUAAAAAGAAAGAGUAGCUUUUGGUCUCCAUCCUGGCUCCUGGACAGAGCGCCUAACACCCCUGUAAUUUCCUAAGAGACAAGGGUGAGAAGAGCAUCUUUUGUCAUUCUCAACAAGCCCCUUUCACCCACCUCUGAGUUCCUGUUGAUAAGGUGACUUUGGAAAGCCCUGACAUUGGUUGGUAGACUGGUUGUCAAGGGAACAGCCCUGUGAUUGGGAGUUGAAUGUUUAGCCCCAUCCGUUGGCCUCCAACCAAGGGCGAAUGAAUGACUCCCUGGGCCUGCGUGCUGAGGCCUCUGCACACCCGGACACCAGAAGGAGGGACU
rnacentral:lncRNA from 1 species